rnacentral:rRNA from 1 species
GAUGAACGCUGGCGGCGUGCCUAAUACAUGCAAGUCGUACGAGGUGCUUUUGUAGCAAUACGAGAGUAUCCUAGUGGCGAACGGGUGAGUAACGCGUUGGUGACCUGCCCCAAAGUGCGGGAUAACAGUCCGAAAGGAUUGCUAAUACCGCAUGUGGUUAUCGGGUUUAGAAACCGAUAACUAAAGAAGCAAUUCGCUUUGGGAGGGACCUGCGUCCCAUCAGCUAGUUGGUGAGGUAACGGCUCACCAAGGCGACGACGGGUAGGGGACCUGAGAGGGUGACCCCGCACAAUGGAACUGAAACACGGUCCAUACACCUACGGGUGGCAGCAGUAGGGAAUACUGCACAAUGGGCGAACGCCUGAUGCAGCAGCGCCGCGUGUGCGAUGAAGGCCUUCGGGUCGUAAAGCACUUUUCUGCGAGAUGAGAAAGGACAGUAUCGUAGGAAUAAGUCUCGGCUAACUACGUGCCAGCCGCCGCUGUAAAAC